CAGUCGCCACGGGAAUACGUAGGGUGCAAGCGUUAAUCGGAAUUACUGGGCGUAAAGCGUGCGCAGGCGGUUAUAUAAGACAGAUGUGAAAUCCCCGGGCUCAACCUGGGAACUGCAUUUGUGACUGUAUAGCUAGAGUACGGCAGAGGGGGAUGGAAUUCCGCGUGUAGCAGUGAAAUGCGUAGAUAUGCGGAGGAACACCGAUGGCGAAGGCAAUCCCCUGGGCCUGUACUGACGCUCAUGCACGAAAGCGUGGGGAGCAAACAGGAUUAGAUACCCGCGUAGUCCCUGUCUUUUAUAC
rnacentral:rRNA from 1 species